ACACACACACACACACACCGGCGUACUGGAACCUCUCUCGCGAUCCCGCACCCAGCUUGAAUUCAGCAAGAAUCGAAAACAGGUGUGCCCCCGUGGCCAACAACCGUCGUAUCUACAGCGAUCCUUAGAGAACAAUUAAGGCCAGUUGACAGUAAAGAACAAUCAGUGUGUAUUUGAAGUCCAUGCUGAGAGAGCAUCAAUCUUCUGGCAGCUGCAAGACUGACCUAUCAACCGAGGCAUUUCUUCAUUCCCUGCCAUUGUCUCCUCCUCUUGAGAUCGCCAUCAGGCACAGUCACUUUUCUACAAACAGGCAAUAGGACUCCCGCUGCCACCCUGCCCAGAUUUUAGUCCUCUACUGCUGAUAAAGUGAGCAAAGAUACGUGGCACUUCCUGAACCCAAAUACUCUUCUGAGCUGAUUCUAAAUCCACACAGAAUCAACCUACCUCCUAUUACCUCCUUCCAAGCUCUGUGUCCCAUUCUCUCAUUUCAGUCUCAGCUCCAGACAUCAGUGAAUUCAAUGUGAUACAUCAGGGGACAUCACAGGACUUCCCUACUUGAAAAUCAAGCAAUCGUGUCCCUGAAACACUCUGUCUUUAUUCAUGCUCAGUUACCGUAAAGUAGAUGCAACUCUAAGAACCUAUGGAUUUUUUUAUUGCCACUAAUAGAUCAUGAUUUACAGCAAAAUUUUAAAAGGUCCAAUUUUACUCACAUAAGAAGAAGAAAACAUUCAGCAAGAAGCAUUUCUUUUGCUUUAUCUUUCCCAGUUAAAUAUGACUUUAAAAAAGACAAAAUUUUAAAAGGUCCAAUUUUACUCACAAAAGAAGAAGAGGGGCGGUUCGAAGAUGGCCGAAUAGGAACAGCUCCAGUCUGCAGCUCCCAGCUUGAGCGACACAGAAGACGGGUGAUUCCUGCAUUUCCAACUGAGGACUGCCGAAGCUGAGAGUAACUACCCCUGGUUUCAUUUCCAACUCAUGAAUUUUUCGCCAUCCUUCUCUGCCCGCCUUUCCUUUACUACACAGUGAGCCGCACUCCUGGAACAAGCUUCCCUUGAAGUUCACCCUCUGAGCGCCACGGCCCCUCUCCAGCCUGCAUUCCACUGUAAGGUUGAGAAAUAUCUGAUUGUUAGUGAUGAGAGAGAAAACCUAGCCUCAUUCUCUGGUGGCCUGUCUUGCAAAAGAGAGAUGAAAUCAAACCUGGCUUCCUGAGAGUUCCUGUUUGGCAAAACCAGCAACAUCUGGGCCCACACUACAAAAGGACCCAGAAAAUAUAGUUUAUAGCUUCCUAGCCCCUUUGAUACAGAAAAGCAUGCAAGAAAGGUGGACCAGUCAUCUGCAUCUGUCACAAAAUUGCCCUAAGAACCAGCUUGUCAGCCAUAGAAGAAAACUGUAUCUCAUUAUUUUAUGUUCACAUUUUGCUUUUUGAGAGAAAGCACUGUGAGUAGAUUUGAUCAGAUACUUUAUUUGUGUUGUUGGUUCUGAAAAUCUUUUUAAUCCCCAAAAAAUAAAAU
rnacentral:lncRNA from 1 species